rnacentral:lncRNA from 1 species
GCCGACUCCAGGGGGGAAUCGCCAACUCUAGGCCUCGUGGACAGCUCUGGUAGGCUGCCACUAGGCUCAUGGGGAGUCGGCGACUGAACCUCUGGAUCGGCGAUUCCCAUACCUGAAUCGCCGACUCCCAGCCGUUACUUGAGCGGACCUUCGCCAUUAAGGCAUUCCUUAUUAGGGGUACCUUAAUGGCGUGGGCCCCACUCGAAUGAAUGGGGAAACGCCCCCCAAGACCCUAUAAAAGGGGUCCUUGGGGGACCUCUACCCUCAACUCAUCCUCUCUUGAC